GACGUAGGGCGCGAGCGUUGUCCGGAUUUAUUGGGCGUAAAGAGCUCGUAGGCGGCUUGUUGCGUCAGCUGUGAAAACCCGGAGCUCAACUCCGGGCCUGCAGUCGAUACGGGCAGACUGGAGUUCGGCAGGGGAGACUGGAAUUCCUGGUGUAGCGGUGAAAUGCGCAGAUAUCAGGAGGAACACCGGUGGCGAAGGCGGGGUCUCUGGGGCCGAUACUGACGCUGAGGAGCGAAAGCGUGGGGGAGCGAACAGG
rnacentral:rRNA from 1 species